GCGCUUGAUAAGCGUGAGGUCGGAAGUUCAAGUCUUCCCAGGCCCACCAUUUUGAUCGAGUGCGGAGCAUUCGUCUUCUGGUACGGGGCCAUAGCUCAGCUGGGAGAGCGCGUGCUUUGCAAGCAUGAGGUCGUCGGUUCGAUCCCGUCUGGCUCCACCAGAUGGAAUUGAAGCUCGAGAAUGCGCCUUGUGCAGGAAGCUCUGUUCAAUAUCGUCCGCGAAACAUCACUUCGCACUCAUUGGUCCGGAUGGACGGUGACGUGCGUGUUUUCUGACAUCGUAAAGAGGAGAUCGAUCCGAGUUUGGAUCUGCGAAGCAAUUCGCGGGUACCAUUCCUAAUCUCCAGAUCGUUUUCGGCGCUCGUUCAUCGCAAGAUGAUCGAGUUGUAAAACGAUCUUUGUAGCGAAGCUUGACCGCCUCGCUAUCGGGCCGAUCUUACGAAGCAAGCUGGUCUUUCUAGUCAAUGUCCGGCUGUGCAAUCGCAUUCAUCGAGGAUGCGCGCCUUCAGUGGCAGGUUACACAGACAACAUUCUGCCGAGUGUGUGGACAUUGAUAAUGAGAGCAAUCAAGUGCCUUAAGGGUGUUCGGUGGAUGCCUUGGCGCUGAGAGGCGAUGAAGGACGUGCUACGCUGCGAUAAGCCGUGGGGAGCUGCGAAGAAGCUUUGA
rnacentral:misc_RNA from 1 species